rnacentral:rRNA from 1 species
GAUGAACGCUAGCGGCAGGCCUAAUACAUGCAAGCUGAACGGCAAGUUGAAUAGCAAUAUUUGACCUAGAGUAGCGUAAGGGUGCGUAACACGUAUGCAAUCUGCCCGCAACAGGAGGAUAGCUUGAUGAAAGUUGAGAUAAGACUCCAUAAGAUCACAGGAGGGCAUCUGAUAGUGAUUAAACUACGAGGGGUUGCGGAUGAGCAUGCGCAUGAUUAGUUAGUUGGC